rnacentral:rRNA from 1 species
AACACAAACCCCGACGCUGAAUGCGUCAAGGAAUUUUAAAUUUGCUCUGAGCCCACCUGCAUGGCACCGGAGACGGUUUUCGUGCGGGUUGUGUUCUGACACAUAAUAUAGAAUGACUCUCGGCAACGGAUAUCUAGGCUCUUGCAUCGAUGAAGAACGUAGCGAAAUGCGAUACUUGGUGUGAAUUGCAGAAUCCCGUGAACCAUCGAGUCUUUGAACGCAAGUUGCGCCCGAUGCCAUUAGGUUGAGGGCACGUCUGCCUGGGCGUCACAUAUCGAAGCCUCUUGCCAAUUUCCUAUUGAUAGGUAUUGUGCAGGGUGUGUUUGUUGGCCUCCCGUGAGCUCCAUUGCCUCAUGGUUGGUUGAAAAUCGAGACCUUGGUAGGGUGUGCCAUGAUAGAUGGUGGCUGUGUUACGCACGAGACCAAGUCAUGUGCCUGCUCUAUUGAAUUUAGCCUCUUUUACCCACAUGCGUUUCUAAACGCUCGUGAUGAGACCUCAGGUCAGGCGGGGCUACCCGCUGAAUUUAAGCAUAUCAAUAAGCGGAGGAAAAGAAACUAACAAGGAUUCC